rnacentral:rRNA from 1 species
UACAGAGGGUGCGAGCGUUAAUCGGAAUUACUGGGCGUAAAGCGCGCGUAGGCGGCUUUGCAAGUCGGGUGUGAAAUCCCCAGGCUCAACCUGGGGACUGCACCCGAGACUGCAUUGCUAGAGUAUGGGAGAGGGAAGUGGAAUUUCAGGUGUAGCGGUGAAAUGCGUAGAUAUCUGAAGGAACAUCAGUGGCGAAAGCGACUUCCUGGACCAAUACUGACGCUCAUGUGCGAAAGCGUGGGGAGCAAAAGGG